GUUUAGGCCUUUUCUUCUGAUGUAGAAAACCCACAAGACAGCACCAUGGUGACUAAAUACAUCCUACAGAAAGAAUAUUUCUAGCUUGUUAUCUAAACUUGUAUAAUCUCUUUCUUUCUCUUUGUGUGUGUGUGUGUAUGUGUGUGUGUGUGGGUGUGUGUGUGUGCACUCAUAGCCAUCAGAGCACUAUAAUUGCAACACUAUAGAAUAAACCGAACUGCACAAACAUGACGUCUUAAGCACAGGCAACCUGUAAGAACUGCUUACAUUUGGCUUAGUGUAUUAAGAAGAAAAAAAAUGGCUGAAAAAAAAAGCUUUUAUAUAUUUAAGUGGAUUUAAUUAGUAAUUAAAAUCCUAAACACAAAAUAGAAACAAAUGGACAGAUACAUACACAUGAGACAGAGAGAGGGAGAAGAGGGAGCAGGAGAAAGAGGAAGACAGAGAUGGAGAGACAGAGUGACAAAGAAAGACACAGAGAGACAGAGCUCUCUCUCUGUCCUUUAGGCCUCCAAUGUGGAACACUAUUCCUCAUGAGACAUGAGCAAGUGUUUAUACCACACAGAUAACUAACUGAUGACAGCCAACAUAAACACUACAAAAGUCUAAAUUUAGGGAGAAAUGUGUGUUUUUCGGGUUAGCUACAGUAGCAGAAAUGACUCAAAGACAACUACACUGCUAAUGCCCACCCCUGUAUUGAUGAUGCGAUCCUGAAACCUGGAGUUCACUGACUAACAUGCUGGCAGUCCACUUGUUUGGAGAGGAUCCCUCUUUGAGAACACUUAUUAUUCUUUGUAUUGGUAUCUUCUUAUGUGUGCUUAGGGAGAGAAGGGUCUAUUGAACCCGAUUAGUUUCAGAGACUCUCUGAUCCUUUGAAUUGAUAAUUUCCUGAGCCUAAGAAACUAAGUACUAGUAUCUAUCAUGAACUAUUAUGCAUAUAUAUUCUCAUAACACUUUAAAGUUUCAAGUAAAAUUAGUAAUUACUCAGGCUUCAUAAUAUUUCUUGGAAGAAAUAUUACACAUUAUAAAUAUCCAUGCUGAUUUAAAGCAUUAUCCAGUUUUGUUGAGAGUCCAGUAUUUUAGGAAAAUCUUGACAAAAUUAAAAUCAGUAGUCCAAAGAAAUAAUUGUUUCAUUGAAACAAAUCAUUUGUAAGUUCAGCAAAAGAGCUAGGGUUUAUAAUAUAUUUUAUUAUUCUGUAACCAUUUGUUCUUUUGAAAAGUUAAAAUGAAAAAGAAUCCACUAAAAUAAGAGCUUACUCUCUGCUUGGAUGAUGCAAAACAAUUGCUUUCCCACCACUACAAUGUCAAGGAGAAAGCUUUCUAUCUAAGAAAUAUGAUUAAGCCCUGUGGUAAUAAUGUCUGUGCCUUGGGAGAUAAAUAAUAUGAUGUUAUCAGAGAAUCCCUGCUGUAAAGCAAUAACAGGGAGAAAUUGUUGCCUACAUAAUAUGAUAAGCUAUACACCAUUAUCUAAUUCUUCUGUAUUACAGAUAAUAAAUAUUUUUGUUCUGUGAAAACAAACAAAAUUAUAUAAAUUCAAGCUAGAGUAUAUCUGGAAAAGCAUGUGCUUUUUGGAUUAAAUUUAAUAGAAAAUUUGAAAAUGUCACAUGGAAAUUAAUUAUUUACAUAUGAAAUUAUCUUUGCUAAAACAAUUCAUGUCAUGGCAUAAGAUAAAUUAUGAUUAAUUAUCCUAUGGGCUUUACUUAAAUUUUAAAACUUAAAUGGAUCUUGGUUCUGCAGUAUUCCUAACAUAUAAGGAAACAACUAUGAGCAUGUUAAGCAAUUUUGGGAAAAUUGAAGAUGUGCUAAGACCAGUCUAAAUUCAAAUUAUUAUGAAAAUUUUAUUAGGCUUAGAAUUUGCUGCAUUUGUAUUUUUUGAUUUAUUUUCAUUUAAUGCCAUUUUAUUAAUUCUUUUAGAAUUUUACACACUGCAUUUUGAUUGUAUUUAUCCUCCUGUGCUAUCUUUCUCCAACUAAAACCUUCUCUACUCUCUCCCUCCCUCCACCCUACCCUCUGCCCCUUUCUUCCAUUCCCUAUUCUCCUG
rnacentral:lncRNA from 1 species